AUGCAGUCUCUAACAUCACAAGCUACUGUUAUUGGUGUGAGUUGCCGCUUGAUAUGAACUAAGCUUUAUUUACCAAUAAUAUAAACUUCAUGCCUGUUAGUUGUAUAUAAUUGAUUUUUUUGUUGAAUGACAUUUGAUUACUAUGCCCUGUCAGGUGUCACUCUUGAUUGAUGUUUCAAACAAAAAAGAUGCCAUUCUUGGUUAUGUAGUAGUGAUCAUGCAACACCAUAUAAACACAUGUGUUUCAGGUGACUCUAACUUUAAUUAUUAGCUAACUCUAACUUGGCUGCUGCAACUGAGAAAGGGACUAUCGUUAAGGCUCUAUUCAUGAGCACGAUGCCAAAAAAGAGUCGAUCCAACUGUUGAUGGUAGACAAAAGCUGAGGUCUGUUCGAAGCUGAACUUGGUGUGCAGGGAGGUGUCGAGUAGAUACAUGUCUCAGAUGAAGAAUACAAAGACUGCCAAGAAGGGUGAGGAGACCACGGUGGCCAAGAUCAAAGACAUAACAUGCAGUCGAGGUCUGUUUGAAGCUGAACUUGGCGUGCCUUGAGGUGCCGAGCAGAUACAUGUCUCAACCAAAGAAUAAAAAGACUACCAAGAAGGGUGAAGAGACCACAAUGGCCAAGAUCAAAGACAUAACAUGCAGUCCCAAAACGAAAAUGGUAAUUUGACAUCACCUUUUAAUCAGCUCAAACUGACCUCUGGUUUUUUGUUACAAUAUGAAAAAGAUAAAGCUAUCAAAAUGAUAAUUUAAAAUCACAUCACCUUUUAAUCUGUUUGAACUCGCCUAUGAUUUUUUAUAAUAUCAAGAAUUUUAAAGCUAUCGAAACAGUAUGAUCUGUUAUAAAAAUAAUGCUAAAAAUAUAUAUCCUUUCAAUUUAAGCGAUAUCUUGUGAGAUGAAAUCUUUUUGUUUUGCUUGCUUUUACCAAAUUUGAUUUCACAUCCGCUUCCUAGAUAACAAACGAGCUUCCGUGGACAUAUCAAGGCUUCCUAGAUAACAAAUGAGCUUCCGUGGACAUACUUCUCAAGGCGUCUGUGUUCUUGGAGUGUGCUAUGAAGUUGCAGAAAGUCUGUAACACUCAUACAAGAGACCAUGUUUGAGACAUAUGUUAUAGUUGCUCUAACACUCAUAUUUUGUCAAAUAUUUUGUACGCCGUUGCAACGCACGG
rnacentral:lncRNA from 1 species